rnacentral:rRNA from 1 species
UACGUAGGGGGCAAGCGUUGUCCGGAAUCAUUGGGCGUAAAGCGCGUGUAGGCGGCUCGGAAAGUCUGGUGUGAAAUCUUGUGGCUCAACUGCAAGCUGUCACUGGAUACUGUCGAGCUUGAGUCCGGAAGAGGAGAGUGGAAUUCCUGGUGUAGCGGUGGAAUGCGCAGAUAUCAGGAGGAACACCAGUGGCGAAAGCGGCUACCUGGCCCAUUCUUGACGCUGAGGUGCGAAAGCUAGGGGAGCGAACAGG